UCUCACCGGCUCUUCCAUCUCACAAGUUUUGACACAUGGCAUGCACCGGGUAACUUUGAUCAUAAUUCUCCAACCGAUCUGCGUUCGCUUCAGCUGAAAUCCUAAACGCAAACCCCUUGGGGCUGAAGUGAGAAAGUUUGAGCAGAGAUUGGAAAAGCGGAAAGUUUCGAACAGCUUGGUAUCUCUGCUUGGCCAGCAGCGAAUAAUAAGGAAAAGGGUCCAGACACCGGUCGAGACACGAGCUCAGAGACGUGGGAGAGUGUCCUCUGAAAAGUGGCUCUUAAGGUGCUUGUUCUCUACAGCUCCGAGCACGGCUGCUUGCCGCUUGUUUGGACGAUUAGCACGGGGCUGCUGUGCGCCGUGCGUGUGUAUCUGUUCCCGGGCUCCUCGGGGCCCCGGGGGCGAUACGCUCAGCGUAAAAUG